UACAGAGGGUGCGAGCGUUAUCCGGAUUCACUGGGUUUAAAGGGUGCGUAGGUGGACAGAUAAGUCAGUGGUGAAAUCCCUGAGCUUAACUCAGGAACUGCCAUUGAUACUAUUUGUCUUGAAUAUCGUGGAGGUGAGCGGAAUAUGUCAUGUAGCGGUGAAAUGCUUAGAUAUGACAUAGAACACCCAUUGCGAAGGCAGCUCACUACACGAAUAUUGACACUGAGGCACGAAAGCGUGGGGAUCAAACAGG
rnacentral:rRNA from 1 species